CCUACGGGAGGCAGCAGUGAGGAAUAUUGGUCAAUGGCCGGAAGCCUGAACCAGCCAAGCCGCGUGAAGGACGAAGGCCCCACGCAUUGUAAACUUCUUUUGUCAGGGGACAACAUCAGGCUCGAGAGCCUGACCGCGGGUACUUGAAGAAAAAGCGUCGGCUAACUCCGUGCCAGCAGCCGAGGUACUACGGGGGAGGCGAGCGUUAUCCGGAUUUAUUGGGCUUAAAGGGAGCGUAGGCGGGCUUUUAAGUCAGCGGUAAAAGCCCGGGGCUCAACCCCGGCGAGCCGUUGAAACUGGCUGUCUUGAGAUGUCGAGAGGUAGGCGGAAUGCGCAGUGUAGCGGUGAAAUGCUUAGAUAUCGCGCAGAACUCCGAUUGCGAAGGCAGCAUACCGGCGGCGAUCUGACGCUGAGGCACGAAAGCGUGGGUAUCGAACAGGAUUAGAUACCCGAGUAGUC
rnacentral:rRNA from 1 species